CAAGAUCACCAUCACAAAUGACAAGGGCAGGCUGAGCAAGGAUGAGAUCGAGAAGAUGGUGCAGGAGGCUGAGAAGUACAAGUCAGAGGACGAGGAGCACAAGAAGAAGGUGGAGUCAAAGAAUGCCCUUGAGAACUAUGGGCAGAAAUCACAGAUUUGACCUGAGGCAUAAAUCAAAUCACAAACUGACCUGUUCAGGAAAAAAUUUCACUCUGUUGACCCUUUGGUGUGGCGCCCGACAUUUGGGCGCCGCACCCUACUAUGCAGCGCCUUCCCCUUAGGCGACGCACAUCCUGCCAGCGUGGCAGCCCUUGUCCAGUUGCGGCCUCACACGCACCUGUGCAGCGCCUAAGAGCUAUGCGCCACACUUUGACGUGCAGCGCCUAGGCCUUGGGCGCUGCACAGUGACUUAAGCGCGGCUGCCCCAGCCCGACCAGGCAGUUCUUCAUCUCUCUGCAUCCCUCUCAGAUCUGAAGAUUUGAUCCGUGGAUUCGAUCCCCAAUCCAUCCUACUAGGUAAACUCUUCCCUUCUCUUUCUUUUGCUCCGUAAAUUUGUUGCCAUUCUAGAGAUUUGUCCAUGAUUUGAUGGAACCCUUGAUUUGUUUGGUUUGCUCGAUUUAGGAUGUGUAUUCAUAUUGGUAGUACCGUAGUGUUAUUUAUUAGUUCACAACAUAUGAUUCUUGUUGUUGAAACCCUAGAUUGUUUAGUUUUUUAGAUAUAUAUGAGAUGCCUAUUUUUGUUUAGUUUAUUUGAGAUGAAGAUGAACUUUUAUAUGUUUACUGUUUGAAAUUGUAAGGAUGGUUUGGCUUCUAGACGAUGUCUACGACGUGCAACACCGGGCCUACAUGAUGCGCGAGAAGGAUAAGGUAAUAAUGAGUAAUCUAAAUAUUUUGCAAAUUUGCCUUUAGUUGAAAUUUACAUGCCCUAAGAUUUGUCAUUACUUGUUUUUUGCAGAAGCUUGAACCUCUGAAGAUUCGGUAUCACGGGGUCUUUGGUCUUGCCAUGCCUUACGAUGAGCGGUACACACCGUACAUCAAGCAGGCAGGACUACUCCCGUGGAUUCUGUUGGUCAGCCGGUCCACGCCGAAUCUGAACGCUCCACUGGUGUCCGCUCUUGUUGAUCGGUGGAGGCCAGAGACCCACAGUUUCCAUCUUCGGACCGGGGAGAUGACCGUGACGCUCGAGGAUGUCUCGUUGAUCAUCGGUCUUGCUAUCGACGGGAGGCCUCUAUGUAUGAGCACCGAUUUUGAUGGGUGGCGCGAGCAGAUGAUUGCUCUUAUCGGUAUGGCUCCUACCGAGGCUGAGGAUGAUGUAGAGGAGGGAGAAGAGAAGAAGAAGAGGGAAAGGAAGGCAGCCGGAGCUGCUUUCACGUGGAUUCAAAAUAACUUUGCGACGUGCCCUCCAGAUGCAACUGAUGAUGUGAUCCAGACACAUGCUCGUGUGUAUAUGUGGUACAUUGUGUCGAGGACUUUGUUUCCUGACUCCACUGGCAAGAACGCUCCAUGGAUGUGGCUGAAGGCGUUGACCGUCUUCGAUAGCAAAUGGAGCUGGGGUUCAGCGACUCUUGCGUACUUGUACCGACAGGUAGUUGGUCUGUUUUGUGAUCAACUCAUUUAUUCAUUAGCAAUGCAAGCUUGCUGUCAAGUUAACAUUGUUUUUCUUUCAUAUGUAGCUGAAUGAUGCGUGUUGCAGGAUCACACCUAGUGCAGGCAUUGGUGGUAAUCUGCUUCUACUUUCUGUAUGAAGCUGGGAGCGUCUGCCUGUUGGACGCCCGAAGAGCGUCAGGUUUGAUCCUUGGUAUGCAGAUGAACAUGACGAAUUACGGCGCCCCACGUGGGCUUACAAGUGGGAUAUUGUUUCCGAGAUGACGAACGAUGUCAAUCUCAUGUACCAAAAGUACAUUGCCGAGUUGGACACGAUUACGCCUGAGCAGGUAAGGAGGUCAUUACUUUAGUCCUUUCUCAUGCUUGCUUGAAAAAUAGUUAUCAAAUUUGCAUUGUUGCCCUGUUUCAUAGGUGGAAUGGCAGCCAUAUGGCGCGGGUGAGAGCUUGGGGUACACCGCGGACUUCCGCCUCAACCCGAUGUGCUUGCGGGAUAAGGAUCUCUGGCUUAUGCGGUGCCCACUGAUAUGCAACUGGGCGGUUGAGUUUCAUUUGCCGCAUCGCGUGUAUCGUCAGUUUGGUCUUUUCCAGCCUCACCCGCCGGAUUGGGUGGACACGGAUAAAGCACUUCAUAGGUAAGAGAGCAUGUGUGCGUAUUGUCUAAUCAUCGGGACUCCUUUUGAUUGUGCUAAUGUUUGGUUUUAUACCACGCAGGCUGGAUAGGAGAAGGCAACGGAAGAUAAAGGACUGGGCCAAGCAUCAUUCUGCGUAUGUUACCCGCUUCCAGCUUUGUGUGGAGCAAGCUUGUAGCACUGCACGCGCCCCGCUUCGUGAGCACAACUCACUUGCUUUUGAUAACUACGUACGAUGGUUUAUUGGAACUACUCGAGUUGAGAUAUGCCCGCCGGCAUAUAAUGAGGAUAUUCUUGAAGAACCCGUAAACUUUGAGGAUCUAGCAAAGGGGAAGUACAACAGAGAUGUCAGGCUAGGGCAAGGAGUCCAUGCUGUUCCGGUGAUUAACUAUGUGGUAAAGUGUUCCCCUCUUUACUUUCCUGUUGACCGUAUUACACAUGUUUGAAUGGCUAACGCAUUCAUUUUUUCUCAUCCGCAGCGCACCGAGAUCAAGAAAGCAGCUGAUGAGAGCCAGUCUAUUCUGGAGAAGACACCGGUUGGAACUGGCAAUGAUGAUGGUUCACUACGAGCAUUCCUCAAGGUACAUAUCGCAUUCACUAUGAGAGCCAGUCUAUGUUGCGAAGUUUGAUAUCUUACACACUUGUUCGUGUUACAGCGUCAGGCCAAGAAGUUAAGGCGGUUAUCGAUCCUUCUCGGUUGCCGUGAUCCUGAAUAUGGUGAACCAUCUGCCUCUAGGUCUGGUACACCAUCAGACCCCGCACCUCACCAUGAGGGGGACGAUGUGAGUUCCACAUAUGCUUAUAUGGAUGAUGAGGGUGGGAUCACCCAAGAGGUAUGACUAAUCCUUUAGAUGUGAUUCUCACUUGAUUACGACAUCGGCCUUCACCAUAUUGUUUCGUUGUGUGAUAGGACGAUGAGCUUGAUGAUGACAUGACUUUGGCGGACGCUCAAGCUCGGUCCGCAUAUGUGUUCAAGCCUAGGCAGCCCAGACGCCGGUACACGCCCAACGACUAUGACAACAUAGGCAACCCAAAGGUGGUCGUAGGGACCUCGCGGAUGGCUAGCUUGGAUGAUGAGGCGGAGAAGGAGGCGGAGGCGGAGGCGGAGGAGGAAGUGCACGAAGAGGAUCCUCGUGCUCCUAAGAAGAAGAAGCUUGCCUGCAGGCGUGCCACCAGGAACACGCGCGAAAGGCAUUAGUGCUUGUUCAUGUUAAUUGUAGCCGUUUAAUUAGGUUGACGAACUUGUGAGGUUAUGUUAUAUGUUGCUGAACUCUUACUAGUGUGUUAUUUGUGUUUGCGAACCUGAAGUAAUGUUGAAUUGUCUUAAAUGAUAUGAUGUUCAAGUUAUUAGUUUCUGCAGUUUACAGUAUUUUUAUUAUGUUAUAUGUUGGUGAACUCUUACUAGUGCAGUUUACAAUAUUUUUAUUAUGUGAGUGCUGCUGCAGGAGGCCAAAAUGGCAUUUGUUUCUGCAGUUUUGCUUAUAGCAGCACUGCAGCGCCCAACAUAUAGGCGCUGCACUGUACUGUGUGGUGCCCAACAAUUGGGCGCUGCACUGUAUAGUGCAGCGCCCUGUCCUUAGGCGCUGCACUACUUCCAACAUCUCACAUCCAGAGAGCCACAGUUGGCUUGCAUCACAUCCACAAUACUUACAAUGACUGCAGCAUCACAACAAUUUGAAUAAAACAUAAAUUUUAAGCCGACGAGUUCAUAACUUAAGACAAUUCAAACAUUACUGCGACAUGGUUCACGACACAUUCAUUACAAAUGACAAAUGGCAGCUUGCCCUAGAAGAUAGUUCACCAACAUCUCACAUGCCCUCACAACUUCAUGACACAUUCAUUAGAAAAUAGUUGACGACGAGUGCACCGAAGCGAAGUCCCUACUGAGUAGAGCGAGGCCAUUUCCCCUUCUUGUCACGUGCCGAGUCCUCCUCUUGCGCCUCGCGAGCCUUUGCAAGCUUUCUUGCCCUCUCCUCCUCACGAGCAAGUUUCGCUUGGCGUGCCCUCUCCUCCUCUCGUUUCUUCCGCUCCAUCCUCUCCUUCUGACGAUGCUCUUCCUCCAAGCCUCUUCGAAACGAUUUUUCGAACCGUCGUUGCCGCCUAAGACAAUCUGCGUAUUGGUCCUUUUUCACAUCUUCUGGCACUUCAAGAUCUAUCCACGUGAAGUACUUGCAUAGAGGAGGCGGUGACUGCAUAAAAAUUUGUUGUUAGUGUUGACACACAUUUGAGAGUAACAUUUUACUUCUCGAGCUUACCGGUGGUUGGUCAUAGGCGUUAGUUGGAAGUGCACGAUCAUAAGCAUAGUUCGGGCAUACAAAAUAUCUCCGCCCUUCCGUCCAUGCUUUCUUUCGGUCGGUGGACACCUUCACCUUGCAAACAUCUCCACACCAACAAGGCGGGAUGUUGACAUCUUUCUCCUUCACCUUGUCCAAAGAUGCGUCCUCCCACUUGUUCGGCAUGUCUUCUUGGUUAGCACACGGUGGCCUCGUCAUGGAACCGGAUGAAGCCAUGCCUACAAAACCGAGAAUUAUUGGUCAACCCUAACCCCCACUUAACAAUAACCACAACCCUAACACCAACAUAACCCUAACCCUAGCAUACUAUGAAAACCUAACCAUACCAAAUUAGCAAAGAAACACAAAUUUCCAAAUCCUAUCAAAAACUAGGGUUUCCCCCAAACUAGCAAGAUUUGAGCAAAUGUGACAAUUCCUAUGGAUGAAAACGAGGGGAUCGGAUGACAAUAACCACGGCCUCUACCACCACCACGGCCAAGACCAUCACCACGGCCAAGACCACCACCACGGCCUCUUCUAAGACCAAGAUGACUCCCUCUUUGUUGCCUAGUUCCUCGUUGGCUUGUUUGAUUUGAGUGGUUUGGCACUCCACCACUUGUUUGACUUGGUUGGCUACCCCUUGGUUCACUUGGUUAGCUAUCAUUUGUUUGGCUUAUGCUUGCACCAUUUUUCUUUGAUCUCUUUCUUGGUUUGGGACAAGUUCUUGUGUUGUGUCCCCCAUUACUGCAGCCCCCACAACGGGAUUGCUCACGAGGCUCUUGGAAUUGGCCGGUGCCGUAUUCUCCACCACCACCACGGCCCCAUCCGUCCAUGUCACCUCUAAGACGCUUUGUCUUACGUCUUCCCCGUCUAACGAUCUUCAAUUCCGGGUCCGGCCAUAGUUGAACUCCAUGAUACUCCGGCCAUUGUGAUUGGUCCAAGUAUGGCUGGAACCGUGGAGUCCAUGUAUUCUUUACCGUCAUGAUUGAGAACUCGGACUCCCUCACGGUAAGAGGGUGAUUGACGUCCACAUUCCUAACCCGGGAUGCAUUUAACAAGUGCGAGCAUGGGAGAUGAAGCAAAGACGGCCUCAUGUAGCUGCAAUCACACCGUGUUAGGGAGACCUUGAAAGCCCGGCCUCCGUGUUGGCGGCCAUCGUUUGUGGUUCCUCCGGGCUCUUUCACCUCAUACUUCCGCUCGUUGUCGUCAUAUAGUACAGCUUCUUCGGAGUCUGCCUUUCGUGAUUGAAAUUCCAACCAUUCUUCGACCUUUGGUGGGAAAUUGUACUUGUGCUUAUCCUUGUUCUCACCAGCAAUCUGCUUAUCAGUCUCCAUUGAGUGCUUUAAAAAGUAUUCAUUCAACUUGUCAAAUGUGUAUUGAACUAUUGCCGUCACGGGUAAUGCACGUACACCCUUGAGCACCUUAUUGAAGCAUUCUGCCAUAUUGCUUGUCAUUUGACCGUACCUCCGGCCAUCUUCAUCGAAAGCACGUGCCCACAUAUUCCUUUCGGCAAUGUUCUUAUUCAGAAACUCCUGACCGCCGGGGUCAAGUUUCUUGUGUCUGAGCAAUGCAUUGAACAAUGUGGAAAACCACUUGUUGGUGAAAGCGAGACAACAAUCCUGAAGAUCAUUGGCCAACUCCUUGAUACCACAUGCCCUAUAGAAGUUUGCACAAAAGUGCCUCAUGCACCAUCGAUGAUGCAACUUUGUAUGUCCGGGAAUGUCAACCACCACCGCAUUUAGAAUUCCAGGAUGGCGAUCCGAUAUGACACAAAUUUCCCUUUCAGCAGGUAAUACCCUUGUUCUCAGUUGACGCAAGAACCACUCUCGGUUAUCAUUGUUCUCCACCUCAACCAAAGCAAAAGCCAAAGGCAACACCCGGUUAUUGGCAUCACUUGCUAUUGCAACCAAUAAAGUGCCCUUGUAUUGUCCGGUCAAGAACGUGCCAUCAAUGGCGAUGACGGGCCGACAAUGCUCAAAAGCCCUCACGCAUUGCUCAAAGGCCCAAAAUGCACGGCCAAAUACUCGGACGGUCCUCCCGUUAUGAAUCAAUGUUUGGUGCCCAUGAGGCUCAACCACGUGAACCAUGCCUGGGUUUGUGGCGGCCAUAGCUAACAACAACCUAGGGAGUCGGUUGUAUGCUUCCUCCCAAUUGCCAUACAACAUCUUGAAUGCGGCUUGCUUCGCCUUCCAUGCCUUGCCGUACUUCACCUUGUAAUGAAAGAUGGCUUUCACAAGGUCAAUGACACUCUUGAUGCUCAUUGUUGGAAGUGUGGAUAUUUGGUUGGACAGCCUGUAAGCAAUGAACUCGGAGGUGAGUUGUCUAUGUUGUUGGUACACAAGCUUGCCAUCCGCAUUCUUGUGCCGGCACAUGUGAGUUGGUAGACAACUCACUAUGCGCCAAGUGGGACCUCCUUUCCAUGGCUUUGCACGCACAAUCCAUGGACAUGUUGGCACUUCACAUUUGACCGUGUAACGCACAUUCACGUCCGAGUUGGCCACUUUAUGUGGACGAUAAUGUGUAACCGAGUAGUUGUCGAGCCACAUCUUCAAUUCCAAGAAGGAUUGAAACUCACAACCGGGAUAUAUCCCGUUCUUGCCGUCUUCCAAAUCACGGUGAGAACUUGGCCUAGCUCCAAGAGAUAUGCAUUUUCCACCAUCCACAACGGCUUCAUCCGCGAGACUAAGAUCCUUGAACAAUGGUGUCUUGUGAUCCCGCCCGAAUACCUUCUUGAAUGCUUCGGCCUCCUUCGGUGUGAACCCCUCCUCAUCAACUUCUUCAUCAGGACCAUCGUCAUCCGAGUCCGAUGCAUAUGCACGGGAAAAAGGGAUGGAUUGGUCCAUUGUCUCUUGCACAUGAUAUUGGUCGAGAUCACCCACAUAGUUGUCAUGGAGGUCAAAUUCGUUGUCAUCCUCCUCGUACUCAUCAUUCUCCUCUUCAAAACCUUCAUUUUGGUUGUUUGGAGUCGGGCUCAAUGUUGGCCAAUCUUCUUGCGUGAAUUGAGGUUCACUCAUUUGAUCUUGGUUCAUGGGUGGGGAGUGCUAGCAACCAACGGGGAGGGGUUCCGGUUCAAGUCUAAAUUCAAAGUAGACUCAACCUUCUUGGAGGCAAAUAACUCAAGAGCCUUGUCUAGAGAUUCCGCAACCGUCUCCUUGUAUGCAACCCAACGUUGCUCGGAGUUCACACGCAUUGUCUUCCAACGGAUGUGCAUUCCUAAACCAACAUUAUGCCUUCCCUCGAACUCAACAACGUCACUUGGGUCCAUCCAAUUCAAAUCUUUCCUCACUUAUUUCAAAAGCUCCGCUUAGCUAGGACUACUCUCAAACACCAUGUCAAGCUCAUCCGGGUCCGUCUCAACAUUGCCUUUCAAAAAGGCCUCUUUAUCCACAUGAUGAACAUAAACACAUGUUCUCCCCAUCCCUACAAUAAUCAAAAACACACAUAUAUCAAGUAAAUACUUAAGAAAAAUAUUUGCACACAUAUGCGCUAACAUAUAUAUGAAUUAAUAACCCUAACCCCCACAUAACAAUAACCACAACCCUAACACCAACAUAACCCUAACACCAACAUCAAACACACAUAACCCUAACCCUAGCAUACUAUGGAAGCCUAAACAACCCAAAUUAGCAAAGAAAUAUAACAUCAUUCAACACAAAUUUCCAAAUCCUAUCAAAAUCUAGGGUUUCCCCAAACUAGCAAGAUUUGAGCAAAUGUGACAAUUCCUAUUGAUGAAAACGAGGGGAUCGGAGGAGAUUACCUUAAGGGAGGGGUUGGCUUCGAAAUCCACGGUGUGUGGCGGAUUUGCAAGAUUUGAGAAGGAUUUGAGAGGGGAAGAGAGGAGGGCCGCAAGUCUAAGGGUUUGGGUCGGGUGAGGGUGUGUGGGGUGGGGUGGGAGAGGAGAGAGGGUGGGGCCAGCCCAAGUGGAACACAGACUGUGCAGCGCCCAAGAGCUAGGCGCUGCACAUUACAGGUGUGUGGCGCCUAGAUCUUAGGCGUUGCACAGGUGCGUGUGGGGCCGCAACUGGACCAGGGCUGCCACGCUGGCAGGAUGUGCGACGCCUAAGGGAAGGGCGCUGCACAGUAGGGUGCGGCGCCCGGCUGUCGGGCGCCACACCAAAGGGUUAGCAGAGUGAAUUUUUUUCGUGACCAGGUCAGUUUGUGAUUUGAUUUCUGCCUGAGGUCAGAUAUGUGAUUUCUGCCAGAACUAUGCCUACAACAUGCGCAACACCAUCAAGGACGACAAGAUUGCCUUCAAGCUAGCUGCAGACGACAAGAAGAAGAUCGAGGACGCCAUUGACCAGGCCAUCCAGUGGCUGGAUGGCAACCAGCUUGCUGAGGCAGAUGAGUUUGAUGACAAGAUGAAGGAGCUGGAGGGCCUUUGCAACCCCAUCAUCGCCAAGAUGUACCAGGGUGCCGGAGCUGACAUGGCGGGCGGCAUGGACGAGGACGAUGCACCUCCGGCUGCGGGCGGCGCUGGCCCCAAGAUCGAGGAGGUCGACUAAGCGAGCACUUGUACCAGUCUUACCCUAAAAGUUUAUCCCGUUCGUUAUGUUGGAUGCUACUCAGUACGUGGUGUUGGAUGUGCGCUUUGUGUGUGUGAACUGCGUUUGCUGCUGCUUUUCUGUUAAUGUUAGUUACAUCUGGUGAUAUGCUGCUAUUGCUCUGUCCACCUGAGGUAUUUAUUUCUCCGCUUGCCAUCGUAUUUUGUUUGGGCGACUGGAGUGCCG
rnacentral:lncRNA from 1 species